rnacentral:rRNA from 1 species
GACGAACGCUGGCGGCGUGCCUAAUACAUGCAAGUCGAGCGAAUCACUGGGAGCUUGCUCCCGGUGGUUAGCGGCGGACGGGUGAGUAACACGUGGGCAACCUGCCUGUAAGACUGGGAUAACACCGGGAAACCGGUGCUAAUACCGGAUAAUCCUUUUCCUCUCAUGAGGAAAAGCUGAAAGUCGGUUUCGGCUGACACUUACAGAUGGGCCCGCGGCGCAUUAGCUAGUUGGUGAGGUAACGGCCCACCAAGGCGACGAUGGGUAGCCGACCGGAGAGGGUGAUCGGCCACACGGGGACUGAGACACGGCCCAGACCCCUACGGGAGGCAGCAGUAGGGAAUCUUCCACAAUGGACGAAAGUCUGAUGGAGCAACGCCGCGUGAGUGAUGAAGGCCUUCGGGUCGUAAAGCUCUGUUGUUAGGGAAGAACAAGUACCGGAGUAACUGCCGGUACCUUGACGGUACCUAACCAGAAAGCCACGGCUAACUACGUGCCAGCCGCCGCCGUAAGAC